rnacentral:rRNA from 1 species
AGCGAACGCUGGCGGUAUGCCUAACACAUGCAAGUCGAACGGCAGCACAGUAAGUGUUUGCGCUUACGGGUGGCGAGUGGCGGAAGGGUGAGGUAUGCAUCGGAAUCUUCUUUUUCGUGGGGGAUAACGUAGGGAAACUUACUCUAAUACCGCAUACACCCCACGGGUGUAAGCAGGGGAUCUUCUGACCUUUUGCGAUUGAAUGAGCCGAUGUCGGAUUAGCUAGUUGGCUGGGUAAAGGCCCACCAAGGCGACGAUCCGUAUCCGGUCUGAGAGGAUGAUAAGCCACACUGGAACUGGACGACGGACCAGAAAACUGCGGGAGGAAGCAGUGGGGGAUAUUGGAGAAUGGGAGCAAGCCUGAUCCAGUGAUACCGCGUGGGUGAAGAAGGCAUUCGGGUUGUAAUACCCGUUUGUGGGGGAAGAAAAGCAUCCGCUUAAUACCCCGAUGUUAUGACGGUACCCGAUGAAUAAGCACCGGCUAACUUCGUG